UAUUGUCUCUAAAUCCUUCUCUCCCAAACCCUUCCAACUUCCCGUUUGUUGCCUUGCCACCAUCAAUAUCCUAAUCAAUGGCUGCCGUCAACCGUCGCCUGCCUAUCGUCGGAACACGCCGUCCCAGCCACGCCGAACAGCUAUACGAAAUCAUAGAUCUGCGUAGUGUCGCUGCAGAUCUGCUCCUUAUGUGUCGCAUUUUCCCUUCAAUCUUUGCCGCUAUUGUCGCCGCAGCUUUGGUGCAUCGCGCUUCAUCGUCCUCCUCGGUUCACCCUCCAGCUACGUCGUCAUGCUCCUGCGUUCAGUGUUCUCUAGAUUAAAGUGACUAUUUGUUUAAGCUUUUGCUUAUUGGAGAUUCUGGUGUCAGCAAAUGAUAUCUCUUUCUGAGAAAUUUCAAGCUGUGGAACAAGAUGGGAAGACUAUCAAGCUUCAAAUACUUAAUUUCAGCCAAACCUCAAUGUUUGAAAACUAAGCAAUCAACCUCCAGGCUCCAGCAAUGUUUCUUGGUAACUAUUUGCAAAACAGAGGAAGCGAAGUGUGGCUGAUGGCCAAGGUGACGAUUAACUCCCACGUGCAGGUUAUAUAUUCCCUGGCAGCAACGGGAUGAAGAAUGACAAGGACCUCGUUGUCGAUGUGGCCAAAUGGUACCUGAGUAUAUUGGCUAUUAUAAUAUUAUGGAUUCAUGAAUUGAUUUCAAUGUAAUUAAUAUUCUGUGUAGCAGUGGUAUUGGUCCAAGAAUUAUGAA